rnacentral:rRNA from 1 species
CUAGUACGAGAGGACCAGGAAGGACGCACCUCUGGUGUACCAGUUAUUGUGCCUACGGUAAACGUUGGGUAGCCAAGUGCGGAGAGGAUAACUGCUGAAAGCAUAUAAGUAGUAAGCCCACCCCAAGAUGAGUGCUCUCUCCUCCGACUUCCCUAGAGCCUCCGGUAUCACAGCCGAGACAGCGACGGGUUCUCCACCCAU